AUUUAUUAUCAUCAUAAAUGUGCUCAAGAUAUCACAAAGUUUACAUGCACAAGUAUAGUAAAAAAAUAAUUUACGAAUCAUAAAAAGUUCCAAAUACGUAUCAUAACUGACAAAGCCACCCUACGAUUACACAAAACCACAUAUAACAAGAAAAUUGUUUUUUGAGAUUUCUUUUCCUUUUUUUUUUUCAAUUUUUUUCUUAGCUCCUUAUAAUAAUAAUAAUAAUAAUAAUUGGUGGCCUAAAUGUGUAUAUGAACGUAAAUGUGUACAUGAUAUCCUUUAAUAACCAAAUUUGAAAUAAUCCAUCAACCGUCCUUGAAAUGGAUGGAAUGGUGGUUGGCUUAUUUUGUGAAAAAAAAUUAAUUGGAAUUAGGCGUUUGUUUGGCCCCCAUCAUUUUCAAUAUAAUUUUCACUCUUUGUUGUCCCACAUAUUAAAUUAUUUUUUUGGUCUGACAAUCACAUCCCUAAUGGCUUAUUGCUGUGAAGGAACUCUGCUAUAUGUCCAGAAAAUAACUGUCAAAAAAAAAAAAAAAAAAGUUGAACCCCAACCUUGAGGGCCUCACCCCUAGAGUUUUGUGAGGGAGGUAAAUCGAGGGAUGUACUCCAACAGAUCAGGGAACAAGAGCUACUUGUACACUGCGCCUACAAUGAGUCAAAUCCCAUGUUUCAGGAAUCGAACCUCCACACUGCGGCUGUCAACAAACUGUCAAAAUUAAUAUGGAUGACACUUGGAAGCAAUAUGUCGGAUAAUGAAAAAACAAACAGAUAAAUCACGGGGAGAUUUGGCUUGAAAGUUGUUGAUUCCAUCUCAAAACCGAUCACCAUCUACUGUGAUGACAGUGCAGCAGUAUUCUUUUCAAAGAAUAAUAAAAGUUCUGGUGGAUCAAAACAUAUUGAUAUCAAAUAUUUGGUUGUUAAAGACAUAGUCAAAGAAGGGCAAACGAAAAUAGUACAGAGGCAAUGAUUGCAGACCCUUAGAUUAAGGGACUCGCUCCAAAAGUUUUUAAGACACAUGUUACUAAUAUGGGCAUUCUGAAAACAUUUGAUAUUUUUGGUUAGUGGGAGAUAUUUAUGUAAAGAACUACGUUUUGAGCUUUAUCCCUUUACGGGGUACGUAGACAACCCAUAUGUUUUCAGGUACAACCCCUUCUGAUAAUAAAAUAAUUUUUCCCCUAUCCAUGAACUAUUUUAAGCAUACAUUUGACUUAUGUCUUUUUAUAUUAUUGGCAUCUUGAAAUAUGAUAUAUAAAGACAUAAGAUUGAUCUCUUUUGAAGACAUGUUGCUUCAUUUUGAUUCGAAGCAUUAUGAGGGCCAAUAUGAGUUAGCACAGUUUUUUAUCACAUUUGGUGUUAAGUUCAUACCAUAUACUACCACAUUGGUUGGAGGAUGGGGAUCCAUGUCGAUAAGGAUGUUGAUAAUUGUAGCUGCGGAAUGGUCUUACAUCGCUUAAUUGGUAUAAUAACUUCCAUGUUUGGUGUUAAUAUUCUUGUUGGACCGGAUCAUAUUACGUAAGGUGUCAUCAUUGGAGCUAAACUUUUGUGGCCACCUAUGCAGUCUAGCCCGGGUGUUAAAACUUUGUUAUGACAAUCAAAUGUUUACCCAAGUGGGAGAAUAUUGGAAUAAUUAAUAAUUUCAUAUGUGGGCUUUACAUUCGAUUGCAAAUUUUACGGAUUAGAUAUAUGACUCAUAAUGAUAUUUGUGUUUUGGCCAAAUUUAUUAAGUGAUUAAUUGGGUCUUUUACACCUUACGAGUUGUACUUAAUUUGAUAUGGUAAUUUAAAGUAUGUGGCCCAGAAAUAAACCCUAAUUAGAAUUCUAGUCUUUAUGGGACGACUCAAAUUAUUUCCUAUAUAAAAGCUAGGUCCCCUCUCCUCUGUUUUUGGCUUGCCCCAUUGAUAGCUAAUACUUUGUGAGGAUCAAAGAGGGGGAGAUCUUGGCUUCUAUUAUAACUAUUAUUCAUAUCAACGAUGGCUUCCGCAGGUAUGAAUUCGAUUUAUCAAUUUAUUAUUCUGUGAUUUUUGUUCUUAGCAUGAUUGCAAUUAAAUUCAACACGUUGCUCUGCACUUUUUUUCACUUCGACUGUAUUGUCUUCAUCCUACCUCUUGUACUGAGGAAGCAAUCUCGGCUAUUAUUGAAUCCCUAUAUGCAGAAAGCGCAGUUCUACGGUACCAUGUACGUUUUCAUUUUAUGCUUUAAUCCUAAGUUUUUCUAAAGGGACAUUACCCUAUAACGAAAUAGAGAUCACAUGCACACACAUGGACAAAGUAGAUAGAGAGCGACUCUCAAUACUUGAGCUUUUGUGUUUGGGAAGUUGGUUCUGGUUGUAACUAGAGGAAUUGACUCUAUUACUUGAAUGUCUAAUGUUCUAUUGACCUGUUCUCCGGGUUGCAUAUUGCUUGCUUCAAAUAGGGAACAACAAAGCUUUUCAUGCUCUAUCCCAGGUUUUUCAGAAUGCCUCUGAACAUCCUCUAGUUAGACAUAAUGCCGCUAAGGUUCUUCGUUUUCAGCUAGUCUAGACGUAGGAGUAGAUUGUUUCUUCUUUUUUUGGUGGGGCGGGGGGACUGCAAUAGACCAUCAACGCAAAUCUCUAAAUUAUUUUGUGUUUUCCAAUUAAAUUAAUUUUAUGAGUUGGUGAAAAAGUUCCAACAAAUUGAUAUAAAAAUUUUAAGGGCAUUGAAGGAUUAAAUUCAUUAGAGUUCUGAGACUAGGAAACUCUUAUAAAGGAACUUAUACCUGUCACUUGAUGCAAAAUCUCUCAAAAAGAUUGGCACAGACUUUACCAAUUACCAUGCUGUUAUGUACAUAUUUUUAUGGAUGAAGAAUAGGUGUAAAAAGAAAAAAUAAUCUGGUUUAUUCUCUAUAUAUUUUACUUGAUCUUCAAUCGUAUAAUUUUCCUUUUUUAUUUUGCACAAUUCUUCUUUCAUGCAUCUUAUGGAUUUGAAGACCGCAAAUGUAUCAUGCUGCUCGAGGAAUUUGCUGAGGAUCCUCCCAAAGCUGUGAACUUGCUAUUAGGAAGCUUGAUUUUGAGAGAUCAGCACGGCACUUUCUGGUAAAUCUCGAUUUUGACUUAUUUUUCAUCCCUUUUUCCAUUCUUCAUACGAAAUGAGUUUAUAAGGUAAAUAUAUAUUCCAAUUCUCUUUUUUUAUUCUCACGUAAAUGUUUUGAGUUAAUUUUUUUUUGUGAAUUUUCAGAUUGCUGUUGUCAAACCACACCAUACCAUUGGUACUAGCUUCCAAGAUUGGAUAUCAGCAAAGAACACUAACAAGGCAUGAUAUGUUAAUUAAAGAAGAAAAGAACACUAACUUUUUCCCUUUUUGUUACCGGGCCCCGGGCAUUUCAGGAAUUGGGCUUCUUUUGUAGGGAUAAAGCCCAGUCCAAUACACAGAAAAAUGGAAUUAAUUUAAGGAAUUUCAGCUACAAUUAAAGUGGCCCAUGAAUGGCCAACCAAAAUUUCACUUUAAAUCUCUUUCCUCCUAGUCCUCUUCAUUUCCUCAGGCUCCGUUCUCUCGUACAUUUGCUACAAUGGAGUAAAUCUAGUAUUUUAUGAAUCAUUCUAAAGUAAAGGGACUUUAUAGCAAAGACACUAUGC
rnacentral:lncRNA from 1 species